GAGACAAUAGACGUGAGUGAAGAGGCUAAACAUUUUUGGUAUUUCAGGGCGUGUUUUGGUCAUAGUUAGCCAAUAAGUCUCGACACUAUGUUCGCUUUAGACGCCUUCUAUGGUCCCCAAGGAUAGUGUAGGUUAAGAGUUCAGCUAUUAGUGAAUUUUUAUGAUCGUGGGUACUGUAAUGGAGACGUUUGUAGAAGGUUUUGGCUGUGUUUAUAACUGUUUGUAUGGAAAUGUCUUUAUGGAGAGUAUUGUUGAAGACAUAGUAUGGAUAAUGGAGCCUAUGUUAUUUGCUGGAGACAUUUGGUUUGGAAAAUUUGUAUUUUAUUGAUAUUAGAGUGC